rnacentral:rRNA from 1 species
ACGGGUGAGUAAUGCCUAGGAAUCUGCCUGGUAGUGGGGGACAACGUUUCGAAAGGAACGCUAAUACCGCAUACGUCCUACGGGAGAAAGCAGGGGACCUUCGGGCCUUGCGCUAUCAGAUGAGCCUAGGUCGGAUUAGCUAGUUGGUGAGGUAAUGGCUCACCAAGGCGACGAUCCGUAACUGGUCUGAGAGGAUGAUCAGUCACACUGGAACUGAGACACGGUCCAGACUCCUACGGGAGGCAGCAGUGGGGAAUAUUGGACAAUGGGCGAAAGCCUGAUCCAGCCAUGCCGCGUGUGUGAAGAAGGUCUUCGGAUUGUAAAGCACUUUAAGUUGGGAGGAAGGGUUGUAGAUUAAUACUCUGCAAUUUUGACGUUACCGACAGAAUAAGCACCGGCUAACUCUGUGCCAGCAGCCGCGGUAAUACAGAGGGUGCAAGCGUUAAUCGGAAUUGCUGGGCGUAAAGCGCGCGUAGGUGGUUUGUUAAGUUGGAUGUGAAAUCCCCGGGCUCAACCUGGGAACUGCAUCCAAAACUGGCAUGCUAGAGUAUGGUAGAGGGUGGUGGAAUUUCCUGUGUAGCGGUGA